AUGAACGCUGGCGGCGUGCCUAAUACAUGCAAGUCGAGCGAACGGACGAGAAGCUUGCUUCUCUGAUGUUAGCGGCGGACGGGUGAGUAACACGUGGAUAACCUACCUAUAAGACUGGGAUAACUUCGGGAAACCGGAGCUAAUACCGGAUGAUAUUUUGAACCGCAUGGUUCAAAAGUGAAAGACGGUCUUGCUGUCACUUAUAGAUGGAUCCGCGCUGCAUUAGCUAGUUGGUAAGGUAACGGCUUACCAAGGCAACGAUGCAUAGCCGACCUGAGAGGGUGAUCGGCCACACUGGAACUGAGACACGGUCCAGACUCCUACGGGAGGCAGCAGUAGGGAAUCUUCCGCAAAGGGCGAAAGCCUGACGGAGCAACGCCGCGUGAGUGAUGAAGGUCUUCGGAUCGUAAAACUCUGUUAUUAGGGAAGAACAUAUGUGUAAGUAACUGUGCACAUCCUGACGGUACCUAAUCAGAAAGCCACGGCUAACUACGUG
rnacentral:rRNA from 1 species